GAGCUCAUCUAUACCUGUACAUGCGUAGCUCCAUUGCAAGGCAUUGCCAUCUCUUUUAAUUCCAUAAGGUGAUUAACUAACUUGUAUAUGAUUUUCUUUCAAUCGUCUAAGGUCGUGAUCUGCUAGCGGCAUUUCAAUAAGGUCGACAGGGUACCUUUGAUUUAGUCAAAUGCAAUUGUAAAGUUUGAUUUUUUUGUUUUUACCAAGUAGAAUGAAUGUGAAAAUCACGUGGAAAAGAAUGAAUAGGAUGCCGCUGUGAUAUUGAUAUUAAAUGUGAUAAGCGUCUUAGACCUCCUAAGUAGGAGCUAUGAAAUGGCUUUAUGCAAAUUGUGCUGUUAUGCUGUAGACCAUCCUCCUUGCAAGCUGGAAAACCGAUAGGUUGGAUUCUUCAAACCAAACAAGCUAAGGCGUUGUAUAAAUGAAAG
rnacentral:misc_RNA from 1 species